UUAUUAGUUUUUAACAUAAACGCUGCCCGCUUCAUUUAACUUUGUUUGAAUGAAUGUGUUUGACUUUGCUUGAUUGGAUAUAGUUGGUUUUUGUUUAUAGGACAGCAAUUUAUGAUUUAUGCCACAAUUUUUUAUUUUAGUACUUAAAUUUAUUUCAAACUUUGGUUCAAUCUUAUAUAUCUGGAUAAAAUUGAUAUAGAGAAUCUUCAAAAAUGACCUUUUAAGAGGAUAUUUCAUAAACCUCUUUACUCAUCAAAAUUGAGGCUCUUUUCUCACUUUUAUUUAAUUUGUGUUGUUUUUUCUUGACAACUACUCUAGUAUCUUGGAUUACUAUGGAUUGUUACAAAUUACCAUUUUUUUUCUUUAAAAAUUUGAGUUGUUUUGUUGUCGGCAAAGGUGUUGAAAACAUAUUUGGAAUGGAUUUUAAUGUGGAAUUAGUCUUGUAAUUCCAAUAUUUGAGGAUGAAUAAUGAUAAAGAAUUUCAAAAUUUAGAAGGACAAAGAUGAAGAGAUAUAUAGAUGUUUUUUAAUAAAUGUUGAUGGUUAUUUCGAUUGUGAUCAAUGAAUAAUGACAUUAUCUCUUAUACACUGAGAGCCAAAAACUUUUGUUUAUUUAUGUAAUUUCAAUUUAGAAUCAUAUUACAAUUGUAUAUGAAUAUUUUAUUAAAAUAAUUUUUCUUUUAAGUCAAAUUAUAGUCAUUUACAAAGUUCAAAAAAAGAAAAGAUU
rnacentral:lncRNA from 1 species